rnacentral:rRNA from 1 species
UACGGGGGGAGCAAGCGUUGUUCGGAUUUACUGGGCGUAAAGGGCGCGUAGGCGGUCAGCACAAGUCAGUUGUGAAAUCUCCGGGCUUAACUCGGAAAGGUCAACUGAUACUGUGCGACUAGAGUGCGGAAGGGGCAACUGGAAUUCUCGGUGUAGCGGUGAAAUGCGUAGAUAUCAAGAGGAACACCUGAGGUGAAGACGGGUUGCUGGGCCAACACUGACGCUGAGGCGCGAAAGCCAGGGGAGCAAACGGG